rnacentral:rRNA from 1 species
UACGUAGGGUGCAAGCGUUAAUCGGAAUUACUGGGCGUAAAGCGUGCGCAGGCGGUUUUGUAAGUCUGUCGUGAAAUCCCCGGGCUCAACCUGGGAAUUGCGAUGGAGACUGCAAGGCUAGAAUCUGGCAGAGGGGGGUAGAAUUCCACGUGUAGCAGUGAAAUGCGUAGAGAUGUGGAGGAACGACCGAUGGCGAAGGCAGCCCCCUGGGUCAAGAUUGACGCUCAUGCACGAAAGGCGUGGGGAGCAAACGAGGAUUAGA